rnacentral:rRNA from 1 species
GUCCAGACUCCUACGGGAGGCAGCAGUGAGGAAUAUUGGUCAAUGGCCGCAGGGCUGAACCAGCCAAGUCGCGUGAGGGAUGACGGCCCUAUGGGUUGUAAACCUCUUUUGCCGGGGAGCAAAGUGCCGCACGUGUGCGGUUUGGAGAGUACCCGGAGAAAAAGCAUCGGCUAACUCCGUGCCAGCAGCCGCGGUAAUACGGAGGAUCCGAGCGUUAUCCGGAUUUAUUGGGUUUAAAGGGAGCGUAGAUGGGUUGUUAAGUCAGUUGUGAAAGUUUGCGGCUCAACCGUAAAAUUGCAAUUGAUACUGGCAGUCUUGAGUACAGUUGAGGUAAGCGGAAUUCGUGGUGUAGCGGUGAAAUGCUUAGAUAUCACGAAGAACCCCGAUUGCGAAGGCAGCUUACUAAACUGUGACUGACAUUGAUGCUCGAAAGUGUGGGUAUCAAACAGGAUUAGAUACCCUCGUA